rnacentral:rRNA from 1 species
GAGUUUGAUCCUGGCUCAGAAUGAACGCUGGCGGCAGGCCUAACACAUGCAAGUCGAACGGAGUUAUAUUGUAGCUUGCUAUGGUAUAACUUAGUGGCAGACGGGUGAGUAAUGUAUAGGAAUCUACCUAGUAGUACGGAAUAAUUGUUGGAAACGGCAACUAAUACCGUAUACGCCCUACGGGGGAAAAAUUUAUCGCUAUUAGAUGAGCCUAUAUUAGAUUAGUUAGUUGGUGAGGUAAAGGCUUACCAAGACAAUGAUCUAUAGCUGAUCUGAGAGGGUGACCGGCCACACUGGGACUGAGACACGGCCCAGACUCCUACGGGAGGCAGCAGUGGGGAAUAUUGCACAAUGGGCGGAAGCCUGAUGCAGCAACGCCGCGUGGGGGAUGACGGCCUUCGGGUUGUAAACCUCUUUUAGCAGGGAAGAAGCUUUUGUGACGGUACCUGCAGAAAAAGCACCGGCUAACUACGUGCCAGCAGCCGCGGUAAUACGUAGGGUGCAAGCGUUAAUCGGAAUUACUGGGCGUAAAGCGUGCGCAGGCGGUU